CGUGAGCAACCUACCGAACUGUGGGGGAGUAGCCGGCCUAACGGCCGAGUAAUACCGCAUACGCUCUCAGUGAGGCAUUUCAUUGAGAGGAAACCUACGGGACAGAUCGAGGGGCUCGCGGCCUAUCAGCUAGUUGGCGAGGUAACGGCUCACCAAGGCAACGACGGGUAGCUGGUCUGAGAGGAUGGCCAGCCACAUUGGGACUGAGAUACGGCCCAG
rnacentral:rRNA from 1 species